GGAGUAGGGGAGGUGGUUGCUUCGUCCUCCGAAAGGAGGGACGGGGAGGAAAGUCCGGACUCCAAAGGACAGGAUGGUCGCUAGCGGCGACUUCGGGCAACCGAAGGAAAAUGCCACAGAAAACAAACCGCCCUGCGGAUUUAUUCGCGGGGUAAGGGUGAAACGGCGAGGUAAGAGCUCACCGGCCGGAUGGUGACAUUCGGCGCACGGUAAACCCCAUCCGGAGCAAGACCAAAAAGGCCCUCGAUGAGGCUGUCCGUCUCGAGGCGGGUAGGUCGCACAUCUUUCCGCUUCGGCGGGAAGUCAGAUAAAUAACCGCCGCCGCCUUCACCGGUGGUAACAGAAUCCGGCUUACGGCUUGCUCCAGCC
rnacentral:RNase_P_RNA from 1 species